UCCUGGUUUCCCAGGCAGUCCCAUCAGAGUGCCUCCAAAGGAGUAGCAACUGACAGCAAGGGUUGCGCUCGUUAUAGGACUUAACCCAACAUCUCACGACACGAGCUGACGACAGCCAUGCAGCACCUGUGUAUAUGUCUUAGGUUUCCCUAAGAAAACUACGUUUCUGUAGCGGUCAUAUACAUGUCAAGCCUAGGUAAGGUUCCUCGCGUAGUGUCGAAUUGAACCACAUGUUCCACCGCUUGUGCGGACCCCCGUCAAUUCCUUUGAGUUUUAAUCUUGCGACCGUACUCCCCAGGCGGAUCACUUAUCGCGUUAGCUACGACACUAAUCUCGCAAGCGAGAUUAACGUCUAGUGAUCAUCGUUUACAGCGUGGACUAC
rnacentral:misc_RNA from 1 species